rnacentral:precursor_RNA from 9 species
GCGGCACAACCAAGGUCCCUUGUGAGUGCUCCAUACUUCUUUAUAUGCCAUAUCUGUACUUGACUGUAUGGAAUGUAAAGAAGUAUGUAGCAUCUACAUGGACAAAUCAACAUGCCUUAU